rnacentral:rRNA from 1 species
UACGUAGGGUGCUAGCGUUGUCCGGAUUUAUUGGGCGUAAAGGGUGCGUAGGCGGUUCCGCAAGUCCUGUGUGAAAUCUUCGGGCUCAACUCGAAGUCUGCACGGGAAACUGCGGGGCUUUGAGUGUGGGAGAGGUGAGUGGAAUUCCUGGUGUAGCGGUGGAAUGCGUAGAGAUCCGGAAGAACACCGGUGGCGAAGGCGGUCUGCUGGGCAGUUGCUGGACACUGAGGCGCGACAGCGUGGGGAGCAAACAGGG